ACGCUCGACACCUACGGGGGCAGCAGUAGGGAAUCUUCCACAAUGGACGUAAGUCUGAUGGAGCAACGCCGCGUGAGUGAAGAAGGUUUUCGGAUCGUAAAGCUCUGUUGUUGGUGAAGAAGGAUAGAGGUAGUAACUGGCCUUUAUUUGACGGUAAUCAACCAGAAAGUCACGGCUAACUACGUGCCAACAGCCGCGGUAAUCUGAGCGGGCGUGGCAAGGC
rnacentral:rRNA from 1 species